rnacentral:lncRNA from 1 species
UAAACCUGUCACCACAUAGUCCCAGUAACUCUGUGCCAGGGCGUAGAAUCGAGCACCUGGUCUUCCUGUCAUAUAUGUAUAUGUGUAUAUAACACCUCUGUACUUACCAUUGCCAGGGCGUAGUCAAAGGCUCCUGGUCUUUACUAUAACUGCCAGGGCGUAGUCAAAGGCUCCUGGUCUUUACUAUACCUGCCAGGGCGUAGUCAAAGGCUCCUGGACUUCCUGUCUGAGACUAUUGGAUCAUUCAGCAUUCACCCACAUCAACAAAUAACUAUG